GAUGAACGCUGGCGGCGUGCCUAAUACAUGCAAGUCGAGCGAAUGGAUUAAGAGCUUGCUCUUAUGAAGUUAGCGGCGGACGGGUGAGUAACACGUGGGUAACCUGCCCAUAAGACUGGGAUAACUCCGGGAAACCGGGGCUAAUACCGGAUAACAUUUUGAACCGCAUGGUUCAAAAUUGAAAGGCGGCUUCGGCUGUCACUUAUGGAUGGACCCGCGUCGCAUUAGCUAGUUGGUGAGGUAACGGCUCACCAAAGCAACGAUGCGUAGCCGACCUGAGAGGGUGAUCGGCCACACUGGGACUGAGACACGGCCCAGACUCCUACGGGAGGCAGCAGUAGGGAAUCUUCCGCAAUGGACGAAAGUCUGACGGAGCAACGCCGCGUGAGUGAUGAAGGCUUUCGGGUCGUAAAACUCUGUUGUUAGGGAAGAACAAGUGCUAGUUGAAUAAGCUGACACCUUGACGGUACCUAACCAGAAAGCCACGGCUAACUACGUGCCAGCCGCCGCCGUAA
rnacentral:rRNA from 1 species